ensembl:lncRNA
CCAGAACGAACAGACAUUUUUUCCAAAUAAACGUGCAAAUAUUGGUCUCAAUGAAUGAUGUGCAGUGUCACAUGACCAGAGCUGUUUACUUCCUGGUUGCACCAUGAGAAGAGGAUGGCUGCAUCAAAGCUCCCAAACAAAAGUUUCACUUUGAGUCAUGUUCUGGAUAUGUUGGAUCUAGGUGACUGCCCAGACAAGGCAUGCAACAUUGCAGUUCUCUCUCAAAAUGAGAAAGAUGCUGUCCUGAGUGAUAGCGAUGGGUCAGGUAUAGACAGGCCAUUUGCCAGCCAGGCUGUUGAAUGCAUAUGCUGAACCUAUGCAAACAGAUCAUGACAGGAACAACAUUAUCAGUGAUGAUGACCUACCACUCACCCCCC